rnacentral:lncRNA from 1 species
AAGAGAAUAACAAUUCUCUUCAAGUGUACAAAACACUAAGCACUCAAACAAGACACUCCUUAAUGAGUAGAUAUGAGUAAAAGAAUACGCUCAAGAUUGCAACAACUUUCGACAAGAGUUUGGCUCUCAAAAACUUAUGUAAUGAAUAUAAAAUGAUAAGUAAUAGAGCAUGCAGGCUUAUAGCAAUUAUAUGAUCAGUUGUUGUGUGUU